rnacentral:rRNA from 1 species
CCUACGGGUGACAGCAGUAGGGAAUCUUCCACAAUGGGCGAAAGCCUGAUGCAGCAACGCCGCGUGGGUGAAGAAGGUCUUCGGAUUGUAAAACCCUGUUGUUAGAGAAGAAAGUGCGUGAGAGUAACUGUUCACGUUCCGACGAUAUCUAACCAGAAAGCCACGGCUAACUACGUGCCAGCAGCCGCGGUAAUACGUAGGUGGCAAGCGUUAUCCGGAUUUAUUGGGCGUAAAGGGAAUGCAGGCGGUCUUUUAAGUCUGAUGUGAAAGCCUUCGGCUUAACCGGAGUAGUGCAUUGGAAACUGGGAGACUUGAGUGCAGGAGAGGAGAGUGGAACUCCAUGUGUAGCGGUGAAAUGCGUAGAUAUAUGGAAGAACACCAGUGGCGAAGGCGGCUCUCUGGACUGUAACUGACGCUGAGGUUCGAAAGCGUGGGUAGCAAACAGGAUUAGAUACCCGAGUAGUC